GUGCCGGAGGGCGAUCGGGCUGUGACGUCUGCCACCCCGCUGCUCACCAAGGUUGAUUCGGCUGAUCUGGCUGCCCAGGCGGGUGUCCCCUUCCUCCCUCACCACUGCCUGCGCAUCCCUCCAGAAGCUGCGCGCUUGGUGGACGAGCACGGUGGCCCCCGCCCGACAGGGUAUAUGCGUCGCCGCGCUCCCCUGCUGGCCCCUCCAAACAAGCUCUCAAGGUCCCUUAAAAAACAAACAAACAAAAACAGCAUCUUUGCUGAUGGAACACCAGGUUGGAUUGCCUCGUUCCUUUGA
ensembl:misc_RNA 7SK 7SK RNA